rnacentral:rRNA from 1 species
UCUAAACUUAUGAUUAUAUGAACCGUACCCCAAACCGACACAGGUGGUCAGGUAGAGAAUACUAAGGCGCUUGAGAGAACUCGGGUGAAGGAACUCGGCAAAAUUGUACCGUAACUUCGGGAGAAGGUACGCCUCUGUUUGUGAACACUUCGCGUGGUAAGCAAAUGGAGGCCGCAGUGACCAGGUGGCUGGGACUGUUUAUUAAAAACACAGCACUCUGCAAACUCGUAAGAGGACGUAUAGGGUGUGACACCUGCCCGGUGCCGGAAGGUUAAUUGAUGGGGUUAGUUUUCGGACGAAGCUCUUGAUCGAAGCCCCGGUAAACGGCGGCCGUAACGAUAACGGUCCUAAGGUAGCGAAAUUCCUUGUCGGGUAAGUUCCGACCUGCACGAAUGGUGUAACCAUGGCCACGCUGUCUCCACCCGAGACUCAGUGAAAUUGAAAUCGCAGUGAAGAUGCUGUGUACCCGCACCUAGACGGAAAGACCCCGUGAACCUUUACUACAGCUUGGCACUGAACAUUGAACCUACAUGUGUAGGAUAGGUGGGAGGCUUUGAAGCACAGUCGCUAGAUUGUGUGGAGCCGUCCUUGAAAUACCACCCUUGUAUGUUUGAUGUUCUAACAUUGUUCCCUUAUCGGGAAUGUGGACAGUGUCUGGUGGGUAGUUUGACUGGGGCGGUCUCCUCCCAAAUAGUAACGGAGGAGCACGAAGGUUGGCUAAUCCUGGUCGGACAUCAGGAGGUUAGUGCAAUGGCAUAAGCCGGCUUAACUGCGAGACAGACACGUCGAGCAGGUACGAAAGUAGGUCAUAGUGAUCCGGUGGUUCUGAAUGGAAGGGCCAUCGCUCAACGGAUAAAAGGUACUCCGGGGAUAACAGGCUGAUACCGCCCAAGAGUUCAUAUCGACGGCGGUGUUUGGCACCUCGAUGUCGGCUCAUCACAUCCUGGGGCUGAAGUCGGUCCCAAGGGUAUGGCUGUUCGCCAUUUAAAGUGGUACGCGAGCUGGGUUUAGAACGUCGUGAGACAGUUCGGUCCCUAUCUGGUGUGGGCGUUGGAUGAUUGAGGGGAGCUGCUCCUAGUACGAGAGGACCGGAGUGGACGAACCGCUGGUGUUCGGGUUGUCAUGCCAAUGGCACUGCCCGGUAGCUACGUUCGGAAUCGAUAACCGCUGAAAGCAUCUAAGCGGGAAGCGAGCCCCGAGAUGAGUCAUCCCUGAUAGUUUAACUAUCCUGAAGGGUUGUUUAAGACGAAGACGUUGAUAGGCAGGGUGUGGAAGCGUUGUGAGGCGUUAAGCUAACCUGUACUAAUUGCCCGAGAGGCUUAAUCAU